rnacentral:misc_RNA from 1 species
CUUAUUGACGCCCUGGACAAUAUCUAUUUUCUAUUACAAGAAGGUGCGCGGUGUCAACGGUGCAACAAAUUUUACAAGUAUAAAAGAAACCUUUGGAGGCACCAAAAGUUUGAAUGUGGGAUUGAAGUAAAGAACUUCCCCUGUCCUGUUUGUCAUAAAGCUUUCACGUACCGGAGUCGACUACGCGCUCACUUAAUGGUUGUACACGAACACAUUGAUUUUAUGUAAAGAAAAUAAAUACUUUAUUAAAUAAAGGUAAUAAUCCAUA